CAAACCUUUUCUUUCUGUCUGCACAUCUGUCUGUUUCUGUUCAUGCACACUUGUCUCUUCGUCUUUUGUUUGCAUGUUCUCGUCUGUCCAUAAAAGUAAGUGCAGCCAUUGGUGUCUGAUAAAAAGGUAAGGCACUAAACUUUUAGACAGUCCUGUCCUUCAGCGCCUCCUACAGGUGAGUGACAUGAGACCACAACAAGCAGUGCUGGUCGUGGCAUGGCUGUAUGGCAAGGCGCUCAUAAGGUGGAGGAGUUUCAGUCACUAACCAUCUGAUGACCUGCAUGAUGUGGGACCGGUUUGCUGCUGUAGCACGUCCAGAUACACUCCUAAAGGAAGUAUUGAAGGGACUUGGCUCUCUGUCUCUCACUGUCUGUCCAGCAAAGCCAUCUAUUCUGUGUUCGCCCCCUGUAGGAGAUGAGACUGAGUUUAGUCGUUCUGACUUCCUCAUGCCCCUCAUUUACCAGGGUCACACACAGUUAGUGUGUCAGUCAGGCAUGUUAAUAAUCCUGCACUGCUUUGGUUACUGGGGUAAACUCUUCCUGAGAUCAGCCUGUUACACUGUGCUCACUUUAUACUCCGACACCUUAAUUUUCUGUACCACUGUUUGGGACACUAGCUUUCUCUAGUGCCCAUUCAGCCCAUAGAUAAUCUGUUAGGAUACAUUUCAAGUCUUUUUUGGCACACAAUAUUUUGUCAAGUUAAAUGUUAGAUUAGAUAAACUGGGCUGUUUUCCAAACAAACAGCACUUUGUAUCUUUAAGUGCUGUUAUAGAGAUUAUCACUACCCAGAUUUUGAUUUAAAAAGAAUUUAUUGUACUUUAGCAUUAGGCCUCUGGGUCAUCUCGCUCUGCCAAGUUUCAAGAGUCUCGCGCUUCAACUAGGCCCGGUGAGGUUAGAGUUUAGCUUUUCGUAUUAGAUUUUCUAGAUGUUGGGAGGCCUCCCAGCAGGAGAAUUUAUCCCACUCCUGCAAAGCAUUCAGUCAUUGAUGCGGGGUUACUUGAGGAAGUUUCAUAUUUACACUAUCGUCGGACCUGGUUUACGCGGUACCAGCCGGGGGGUGCAUUUGGGUUCUUGGGAGGGAGCCUGGCAGAGACAGAUGACUUAGAUGAAUCUAAAGGCUUGUGUACACCCGGUUUGGGUAGUUGCCUUAUUGUCUGUGAUGAGAACAGGAGCAGUGAUACUAUGAAGCCUGGUUGUCAAGUACACAGGUUGACACUGUUAUUACUGCGUUUUACUCUUAACUUUCUUAUAGCAAGAUUAUACUGUGGGCUGAAUUGUGUCAAGGCUAACAGGCUUUGUAUGGAAGGAACUGAGUUCUGCAGGGACAAUACUGCAGUUAUUAAAGUGAAAAUUGGCCCUUUGCAGUAUGUCAUGUCUUGUGAGGUCUUAGCUUGGCAGCAUGAAUUAGCCUGUCCUCUUUUCGAGCUCCACAUAUUCCUACACAAUGUACACAGAGCGUUUUCUGAGAUGACGCAUACUUUAGAGGAGAGAGUAGAGAACCAACAUCGUAGAUGGUUGUAGUGUCAAAUGAAUGAUAGUUGCACUGCUUUUUGAAAACAUUACAGGUUGUGUGUUUAUAUUACUAAUUCAGUGCAGAGUGACAGUCAGUUCUAGGGUUAAGGAAGCCAGGGCUUCUCCACACUACAGAGAACAAGGCCAACUGAGUCGACUCGCAUCAUAAGAGGCUUUUCUCCUUCCCCUUCUUCUCAGUGUGUGAAGGAGUCUGAGCUUUCAGGUUACUGAUAGUUCGGACAGUUGUUGAGUCCAUCUUUGAAGCUGUGUGCCAUGGUUGUGCAGUUUCCAAAACCAGACAAGGAUCCCUCUGGUUUUGUGAAUCAGCUGACAUGGUAUGCUGUUAUGAUCCUACUAAGAGAUGCGCUGUACAAUUGACAUGUUUAAGGGGUAGAUUUGGUGAGACAGAGCCAGCUGUGACUAUCGCAGUUCAAGAUGAGGAUGCACAGAGUAGAUCAGACCAGACUGGAUAAAGGCGUAAAAAAAACUUGGUUAAUGUGUUGUGCCCUUAGUCUGGGAAUAGUGGAGGGACGACAAGCAGCAGACCUCUCACUUCCACUCAUCUGUAAUGAGGUUUACAUUUUUAGACUAACAAACCUACAUUUCUUGUUCUCAGUGAACACACCUAGUUUCAGGACCAUGCUUGUGGUGACUAGAUCUUCCCCUCCUCCUCCUCUUUCUAAAUUGACUACACUGUUCCCCAGCUCCCUAGUCGAGUGUCUGAAAGCACCAGUCAGGAAGAAAGAAGCCACUGUGAGGGAAAGUGUGCGGGUAGACGGGCUAUACGCAAUGAUGUUUAGAGAAAAGUACAUUGUACUUCCUGGUUGAAAAGUUGCAGUUUACCAAGCUGUUUCCUGUCCUGCCAGAGACGCUGAGAUGGGACGCUGGGACCCAGAAGUUGUCGUGUUCAGCUGUGAAGAAGACAAAGACCCUGCUCUACCAGACCGUCAUUGACAAUAGCUCCUCUGCACCACCAGUUGUUGAUCUCUUCAGAAACAUCAGGAAACUGAAGCUUGGGAAAACAACCUGCUGACGCAGACGGGACCAUGAGGAGGCUGCUACAGAUGUCCAUUCCAACCUCUUUGGUUGUGAGAGCUGAGACCAACUUGAUGAGAUCUUGAAGGAACUGUUUCAGCUGAAGCUCAGUCAGCUUUACCUGAGUCCACCUCCACCUUGGAUGAGAUGACUUCAGCUACUGAACUCUAACCUUUCCUCUGGAGUAGUGUGUUCCUU